rnacentral:lncRNA from 1 species
AGAGGAUUCAUUUUCUCUGUUUGUUGAGAUCAAGUGCCAGGCUUUCUGUUUACUCAGUUGAGCUACAUGGAGUUUUUUUCCUGGAAUUUCUGCCAACCAGAACAGGGAAGUCCCACGACCCACUGCAAGGUGGGUGGGAACAGUGCCCUUUGGGUUUCAGAUUUCUCUACUGUGGCAGGGUAACUGGCCAAGUGGGAGAGAAGUAAGUUAAAGAAAAGUGACAUUCUGAAGCCUUUGAGUUGAGAGUGGCCACAUGAAUUUCACCUUGAACAGUCCUCCUUGGUUGCUUUAGGCCAUUGUUAUAAAAAGGCACAUCUGCAAUGCUUCUGAUAAAGUCAAGCAGGAGACAUUGUCGCCUGGCUCCCAUGUUCAUGCCUCACUCACAUCAAACAAAUAUUUUGACACCUUCAUUAAGUGCGACAGAAAUUGAAACAAUGUUGUUAAUUACUCAGCCUAAAGCUAUUCUAUUUUCC